UGGGGAAUUUUGGACAAUGGACGCAAGUCUGAUCCAGCCAUGCCGCGUGCGGGAAGAAGGCCUUCGGGUUGUAAACCGCUUUUGUCAGGGAAGAAACGAGUUUCUCUAAUACAGAGACUUAAUGACGGUACCUGAAGAAUAAGCACCGGCUAACUACGUGCCAGCAGCCGCGGUAAUACGUAGGGUGCGAGCGUUAAUCGGAAUUACUGGGCGUAAAGCGUGCGCAGGCGGUUAUAUAAGACAGAUGUGAAAUCCCCGGGCUCCACCUGGGAACUGCAUUUGUGACUGUAUAGCUAGAGUACGGCAGAGGGGGAUGGAAUUCCGCGUGUAGCAGUGAAAUGCGUAGAUAUGCGGAGGAACACCGAUGGCGAAGGCAAUCCCCUGGACCUGUACUGACGCUCAUGCACGAAAGCGUGGGGAGCAAACA
rnacentral:rRNA from 1 species